rnacentral:lncRNA from 1 species
UUAUCACGAGAACAGCCUGGGAAAGGCUUGCCCCCAUGAUUCAAUUACCUCCCACUGCGUCCCUCCCACAACACAUGGGAAUUCAAGAUGAGAUUUGGGUGGGGACAUAGCCAAACCAUAUCAAAUCCCCACCCCUAGAAGAAAAUUGCUGCCAUUUUCUGAACAUACCUCAUAUGAAGAAGCAUGUUUAUGAUCUGUAACUGCACAUCUGGAGUUCCUCCCUGUACAUGCUUACAUACAUACCUCCCCGCCCCACAUCUAAUUCCUUAAAGUUCCCUGGAUUCCAUCACCUUCGGAAGGGGUUCUUUAGA